rnacentral:tRNA from 1 species
AAUAAGGUAAGCUAAAAAAGCUGUUGGGUUCAUACCUCAGAAAUAGAUAUAGAUUAUUCUCUUUAUUA